GAUGAACGCUGGCGGCGUGCCUAAUACAUGCAAGUCGAGCGAACAGACGAGGAGCUUGCUCCUCUGACGUUAGCGGCGGACGGGUGAGUAACACGUGGAUAACCUACCUAUAAGACUGGGAUAACUUCGGGAAACCGGAGCUAAUACCGGAUAAUAUAUUGAACCGCAUGGUUCAAUAGUGAAAGACGGUUUUGCUGUCACUUAUAGAUGGAUCCGCGCCGCAUUAGCUAGUUGGUAAGGUAACGGCUUACCAAGGCAACGAUGCGUAGCCGACCUGAGAGGGUGGUCGGCCACACUGGAACUGGGACGCGGUCAAGACUCCUACGGGAGGCAGCAGUAGGCAAUCUUACGCAAGGGGCGAAAGCUUGACGGAACACCGCCGCGUGAGUGAUGAAGGUCUUCGGAUCGUAAAAAUCUGUUAUUAGGGAAGAACAAAUGUGUAAGUAACUAUGCACGUCUUGACGGUACCUAAUCAGAAAGCCACGGCUAACUACGUG
rnacentral:rRNA from 1 species